rfam:Streptomyces rubellomurinus strain ATCC 31215 contig-233, whole genome shotgun sequence.
CUUGAUCGAACCCAGCCACAACGGCUCGUCGCCGACCCGCUCGCGCCCGUACGUCGCCAGCAGCGCGUGCGCCUC